UACGUUUUUAACCAAAGGUUGCAAAAUUAAAGAUUGGGUGCAUGAAGAAUUGAAAAGCUUUGUGGCAAAUAUGGCAUAGCCCAUCCGAACAAAGAGAUGCCUUAUCUUCAUUUGUACCUCGAAGUGGACAAGAAAAUGAGAGGGAUUGAUUUGAAACCAGAAAUCAACAAGAUAUUUGAUGGCAAUACCUCGGAAUACAUUGAAUUACGUUUUGUCGACCCAUCAGACGAAAUAGUAAUUCGAUCACUAUCCAACAUGGUUCACUCAAAGCGCGAUGAUGAGCCUAAUGAAGGAUCCCGUGGCACGUUGACUCUGUUCAGCUAUAGAGAUGGAAAACAUUAUGCGUUGACUUGUCUUCAUGUUGGAUAUGGAAAAGUUCCGAAAGACUUGGCACUAAAGGAUUACUCUUUGUGAUGAAGAACAUAUAUAUGCAUCAUUUAAAACCUAUGUACUCAUUUAACUUAUGUUCAUUUAUAUUUACAGGCAUCAAUUUGUCUAGAGUGUAUUCAUUAAUUUGACAUUUGCGCAAUUUUUUCGCGAAAGUUCCUACUGUAGCUAAGAACUUGUUUUAGAAAUGUCCUUAUCUUCAACAUGAUUUCCGUCGCUACAUAUCAUGAAAAGCGUGUAUUCAAAAAUUGUAAUUAUUAGUAAGUAUUAGCCGUCUUUUACAACUAAAUACAGCUAUAGAACUAUAUUUGCGUCUGUGGCUAAUAUAAAGGUACGGAAGAAAAAUUAGUCAAGUUUUACAGACACCA